rnacentral:rRNA from 1 species
AAACUUUCAACAACGGAUCUCUUGGUUCUCGCAUCGAUGAAGAACGCAGCGAAAUGCGAUAAGUAAUAUGAAUUGCAGAUAUUCGUGAAUCAUCAAAUCUUUGAACGCACAUUGCGCCCUUUGGUAUUCCAAAGGGCAUGCCUGUUUGAGCGUCAUUU